AUAUUGUCUUGCAUAAUUGUGUAAUAACAGAGGUCGACUCAUGGCUCAGAUUGAACGCUGGUGGGAUGCUUUACAUGAUGCAAUGACCGGCAGUAUUGACCGGUCUAGUGCAGAGCAGAACGGUGAGCAAUGUAUCGGAACGCCCAUAUAGCGGCGGAUAACUACGCGAAAAGGUAAAGCUAAUACCGCAUACGGCCCUUCGGGGGAAAGCGGGGACCCGGCCCCUGCACGACAGAGCGGCCGAUAUCGACAGCUGCUGUGGGCAAUGGCUCACCAUGGCAUCCGUAAAGCUGGUCGGAGAGGAAUACCCAGCCAUCGGGACCGAGACACGGCCCAGACUCCUGCCGGGAGGUGAAAAAAUUUUACACAAUGGGGAACCUCGAUCCAGCCAUCCCGCGUGUGCGAUGUGAAGCCUUGCCAAAAGCACUUUGGCAGGAAGAAACGGCACGAUGCACCUGAAAAAAUUGACGGUACCUGCAGGAAUAAGCACCAUUAAUCACGCAGCUGCAGGUAACAUGGUAAAGUGUUAAUCGGAAUUACUGGCGUAAAGCGUGCAGGCGGUUCGGAAAGAAAGAUGAAACCCCAGAGGCUAACUUCGAACCGCAUUUUUAACUACCGAGCUAGAGCGUGUCAGAGGGAGGUAGAAAUUCCGCAAGAAGAAAAAGAAAUGCGGGAUAGCAGAUGAACACCGAUGGCGAAGGCAGCUCCGGGAUAACACUGACGUCGCAACAGUGAGCAAACAGGAUUAGAUACUCCUGGUAGUCCACGCUCCUAAACGAUGUCAACUAGCUGCUGGGGGCCUUCUGGCCUUUGUAGCAGUGCUAACGCGUGAAGUUGACCGCCUGGGAGUACGGUCAAAAGAUUAAACUCAAAGAAUUCGACGGGGACUCGCACAUGGUGAUGAUGAUUACAUCUGAUGCAACGCGAAAACCGACUACCUCGACAUGUCUGAAUCCCGAAGAGAUUUGGGAGUGCUCCAGGUCCGAACACAGGGUGCUGCAUGGCUGUCGUCAGCUCGUGUCGUGAGAUACAAGAGUCCUCAACGAGCGCAAAUCCUGACAGCGAAGUUACGAAAGGGCACUCUAAUGAGACUGCCGGUGACAAAACUGAGAAGGGGAUGACGUCAGUCUCCGGCGGCCUCUAUGGGCAGGGCUUCACACGUCACACAAUGGCUGGGACAGAGGUCGCCAACCCGGCGAGGGGAGCCAAUCCCAGAACCCGAUCGAAGUCCAAUCGUAGUCUGCAACUCGACCGCGAAGUCGGAACUGCUGGUGACCAGAUCACAUGUCGCGGUGAAUACUCCCUGGCCUGUACACUGCCCGUCACACCAUGGGAUGGUCAACAUAGAAGAAGAACAACCGCAUAGAGGGGCGAUUACCACGGCAGAUCCGCGACUGGGGCAGAAGCGCCGCAAUACAG
rnacentral:rRNA from 1 species